AUUCUAAAGGGGAAGGCCCCUUUUUAUUAAACUUGUACAUUUUACUUUCCUUCUUUCAGAAUGCUAAUAAAAAACUUUUGUUUAUACUUAAAAAAACCAUAAAUCAGACAAACAAAAGAAACGAUUCCAACAUCACUUCUGUGAUGAGAAAAGAGGCAAUGGAAUUCAACAUAAGCAAAGAAAACUCUACCUGGAGGAAAGAAAUCGAUCAGCGAGGAAACAACUCGGGGCUGCUGCCAGACUGCAGGCCAUGCGAGGAGGAGCCUCCUAGAGGAUUUCCAAAGCAAACCCAUCCCUGCCAGACCAGGAAGCAGCCGUCCUACCUCCCAGAGAAACAGACCUCAGCCC
rnacentral:lncRNA from 1 species